rnacentral:rRNA from 1 species
CCUACGGGAGGCAGCAGUGAGGAAUAUUGGUCAAUGGGCGUAAGUCUGAACCAGCCAAGUCGCGUGCGGGAUGAAGGUUCUAUGGAUCGUAAACCGCUUUUAUAAGGGAAUAAAGUGCGGGACGUGUCCCGUUUUGUAUGUACCUUAUGAAUAAGGAUCGGCUAACUCCGUGCCAGCAGCCGCGGUAAUACGGAGGGUCCGAGCGUUAUCCGGAUUUAUUGGGUUUAAAGGGUGCGUAGGCGGCCUUUUAAGUCAGGGGUGAAAGUCCGUGGCUCAACCAUAGAAUUGCAGUGGAAACUGGGGGGCUUGAGUGUGUUGGAGGUAGGCGGAAUGCGUGGUGUAGCGGUGAAAUGCUUAGAUAUCACGCAGAACCCCGAUUGCGAAGGCAGCCUGCCAAGCCAUGACUGACGCUGAUGCACGAAAGCGUGGGGAUCAAACAGGAUUAGAUACCCCUGUAGUC